AUGAAGUGGGAGGAUUGUCUUCCUUAUGCUGAAUUCUCAUACAACAACAGCUUUCAAGCAAGUUCGGGCAAGGCCCCCUUUGAAAUUCUAUAUGGCAGGAAGUGCCGUACCCCUCUCAACUGGUCUGAAACCGGUGAACGUCAGCUGCUGGGUAAUGACUUAAUCACAGAAGCAGAAGAGAUGUGCAAAGUCAUUCGUGAUAACCUCAAAGCAGCCCAGUCCCGCCAGAAGAGCUACUAUGACAGUAAGCACCGUGAAUUGGUUUUCGAGAUCGAAGAUCAUGUUUACCUCCGCGUCUCUCCCAUGAAAGGUACUCGUCGCUUCGGUAUCAAAGGGAAGCUUGCCCCUAGAUACGUGGGACCUUUCAAGAUUGUCAGCAAGAGAGGCGACCUCGCCUAUCAACUCGAGCUUCCUUCAAACUUUGCAAAUGUUCAUGAUGUGUUCCAUGUCUCUCAGCUUCGAAAGUGCUUCAAGACUCCUGACCGCACCAUCAACUUCGAGGACAUUGAGAUCCAAGAAGAUCUCUCCUAUCGUGAGCACCCAGUUGCUAUUCUCGAAGAGACUGAACGCAAAACUCGCAACAAGUCAAUCAAAUUCCUCAAAGUUAAGUGGUCUCACCAUUCCGACCGUGAAGCUACCUGGGAACGCGAGGAUCACCUCCGUUCUGAGUACCCGGAGUUCUUUCAGUCCUAG
rnacentral:rRNA from 1 species